rnacentral:rRNA from 2 species
GAGUUUGAUCGUGGCUCAGGAUGAACGCUAGCUGGAGGCUUAAUACAUGCAAGUCGAGCGGGAUUGGGUAGCAAUACCCAUGAGAGCGGCGCACGGGUGAGUAACGCGUACACGACCUACCUCUAACAGGGGGAUAGCCCUGGGAAACUGGGAUUAAUACCGCAUAUAAUUCUGAUUAUAAAAGGUUGGAAUGAAAGUUCAGGCGGUUAGAGAUGGGUGUGCGUCUGAUUAGCUAGUUGGUAGGGUAACGGCCUACCAAGGCGAUGAUCAGUAGGGGGCGUGAGAGCGUGGACCCCCACACGGGUACUGAGACACGGACCCGACUCCUACGGGAGGCAGCAGUAAGGAAUAUUGGUCAAUGGGCGCAAGCCUGAACCAGCCAUCCAGCGUGCAGGAAGAAGGCCCUAUGGGUUGUAAACUGCUUUUGUCAGGGAAUAAACCUUGGGAUUAACUCCUGAGCUGAAGGUACCUGAAGAAUAAGCACCGGCUAACUCCGUGCCAGCAGCCG